AGCGGGAAGUAGUUUACUACUUUGCCGGCGAGCGGCGGACGGGUGAGUAAUGUCUGGGAAACUGCCUGAUGGAGGGGGAUAACUACUGGAAACGGUAGCUAAUACCGCAUAACGUCUUCGGACCAAAGUGGGGGACCUUAGGGCCUCACGCCAUCGGAUGUGCCCAGAUGGGAUUAGCUAGUAGGUGGGGUAAUGGCUCACCUAGGCGACGAUCCCUAGCUGGUCUGAGAGGAUGACCAGCCACACUGGAACUGAGACACGGUCCAGACUCCUACGGGAGGCAGCAGUGGGGAAUAUUGCACAAUGGGCGCAAGCCUGAUGCAGCCAUGCCGCGUGUGUGAAGAAGGCCUUCGGGUUGUAAAGCACUUUCAGCGAGGAGGAAGGCCAAUAACUUAAUACGUUGUUGGAUUGACGUUACUCGCAGAAGAAGCACCGGCUAACUCCGUGCCAGCAGCCGCGGUAAUACGGAGGGUGCAAGCGUUAAUCGGAAUUACUGGGCGUAAAGCGCACGCAGGCGGUUUGUUAAGUCAGAUGUGAAAUCCCCGCGCUUAACGUGGGAACUGCAUUUGAAACUGGCAAGCUAGAGUCUUGUAGAGGGGGGUAGAAUUCCAGGUGUAGCGGUGAAAUGCGUAGAGAUCUGGAGGAAUACCGGUGGCGAAGGCGGCCCCCUGGACAAAGACUGACGCUCAGGUGCGAAAGCGUGAGGAGCAAACA
rnacentral:rRNA from 1 species